rnacentral:piRNA from 1 species
UGGGAAUUGAAUGCAGGCUUCUGGAAAAG